GGAGAGGUGCAGGAGUGGCUGAACUGGCUCGCCUGGAAAGCGAGUAUUCCUUCAUCGGAAUCGAGGGUUCGAAUCCCUCUCUCUCCGCCA
rnacentral:tRNA from 1 species